rnacentral:piRNA from 1 species
UGAACCAAUGAGUUUGUUGUGGUCAUGCA